GAUGAACGCUGGCGGCGUGCUUAAUACAUGCAAGUCGAGCGAACGGACGAGAAGUUUGUGUCUUUGAUGUUAGCGGCGGACGGGUGAGUAACACGUGGAUAAUCCACCUAUAUGACUGGUAUAAUCACGGGAAACCGGCGCUAAUACCGGAUAAUAUCCUGAACCGCAUGGUUCAAUAGUGAAAGACGGUCUUGCUGGCACUUAUCGAUGGUUCCGCGCUGCAUUAGCUGGUUGGUAAGGUAACGGCUUAUCAAGGCAACGAUGCGUAGCCGACCUCAUAGGGUGAUCGGCCACACUGGAGCGUGAACGCCGACCAUGCUCCUGCGAGAGGCAGCAGUAGCGUAUCUUCCGCAGUAGGCGGGAGCCUUGCGCAGCAGCGCCGCGUGUGUGAUAGAAGUCUUCGGAUCGUGAUGCUCUGUUAUUAGGUGUAAACAUAUGUGUCAGUUGCUGAACACAUCUUGACGGUACCUGGUCAAGAAGCCACGGCUAACUACGUG
rnacentral:rRNA from 1 species